rnacentral:rRNA from 1 species
CGCUGGCGGCGUGCUUACACAUGCAAGUCGAACGAGAUCCUUCGGCGUCUAGUGGCGAACGGGUGAGUAACACGUGAGCAACCUGCCCCUGGCUCUGGGAUAGCCUCCGGAAUCGGGGAUUAAUACCGGACAUGACCUUGGACCGCAUGGUCUUGGGUGGAAAGUUUUUCGGCCAGGGAGGGGCUCGCGGCCUAUCAGCUUGUUGGGGGGGUGACGGCCCACCAAAGCGACGACGGGUAGCCGGCCUGAGAGGGCGACCGGCCACACUGGGACUGACACACGGCCCACACUCCUACGGGAGGCAUCAGUGGGGAAUAUUGCACAAUGGGCGCAAGCCUGAUGCAGCGACGCCGCGUGCGGGAUGAAGGCCUUCGGGUUGUAAACCGCUUUCAGCAGGGGCGAACACAGGACGGUACCUGCAGAAUAAGCGCCGGCUAUCUACGUGCCAGCAGCCGCGGUAAUACGUACGGCGCGAGCGUUGUCCGGAAUUAUUGGGCGUAAAGA